rnacentral:rRNA from 1 species
GACAGAGGGUGCAAACGUUGUUCGGAAUUACUGGGCGUAAAGCGCGUGUAGGCGGCAGCGUGUGUCGGGCGUGAAAUCCCACGGCUCAACCACGGAAGUGCACCCGAAACUGCGUAGCUGGAGUCUCGGAGAGGAAGGUGGAAUGCUUGGUGUAGAGGUGAAAUUCGUAGAUAUCAAGCGGAACACCGGUGGCGAAGGCGGCCUUCUGGACGAUGACUGACGCUGAGACGCGAAAGCGUGGGGAGCAAACAGG